AGUAAAUACAAACUGGAGCCAGGAAUGACUACCUUUAACAUAAAUAACAUGGCCAGCGGCUCCUACUAAGAAAGCCAAAGUGCACACCAUUUUCUAAUAUGUCUCAGGCUUGACACAGCUCUGCCUUCUUUCAGGUGAGAACCCUGUGUUUGCUUCCUCUUUCAGUCUCUCAGGACUUCUGAGUUCAAAGGUCCUAAAGCAGGAGAAGCUGCAGACUUCCAGGGUCAGGGGCCCCGAUGCAAGCAGGCCAUGUGUCUGAAGACAAGCAGAUACAAUCCUGGGGAGAUGACUGGACUUCCAACCCAGAAGAGAAAGCCCCACCCUGUGUCCUGCCGUGAAGUAACUCUUAUUUUUGGCAAGACAUUAAAAUUACUCACCUAUAAAGAAGAGUUUCUUUCCAUCUCUACAACUUAAGGAAACCUCGAGUCUCAUAGCAUCUGACCCUAAAUAUCCUUGUUUUGCCAUGUAUGUCAUCUAAGUAGUGUGUGGUUGGAGAAUAAAUCAUGAGAGAAUGGAAGAACUGUGGCUUUUGAACUGUUCUCUUUCACAGAAACUCCUUCCUCC
rnacentral:lncRNA from 1 species